rnacentral:rRNA from 1 species
UACGGAGGAUGCGAGCGUUAUCCGGAUUUAUUGGGUUUAAAGGGUGCGUAGGCGGACGCUUAAGUCAGCGGUAAAAUUGCGGGGCUCAACCUCGUCGAGCCGUUGAAACUGGGUGCCUUGAGUGGGCGAGAAGUACGCGGAAUGCGUGGUGUAGCGGUGAAAUGCAUAGAUAUCACGCAGAACCCCGAUUGCGAAGGCAGCGUACCGGCGCCCUACUGACGCUGAAGCACGAAGGCGUGGGUAUCGAACAGG